GUGGGUAUCUUGCACCCCUAAUUCUACUGUCGGACACUUGUCCAUUUUUACCUCUCGUCUCACUUUUUCUUUUCUUUCGAGGUUCCGAGCACUUGCUCCUUUUUAUUUCCUCGUAUUAUUCUUCUCUCUCUCUCUUUUUUUUGAGCAUUCAUCUCUUGAGAUAAUAUAGCAAGUGGUAGUAACAAGAUAACUUGAGCAUUUAUUUCACAAGGGGAAAACAGAAAUAUUUUUGGUUAUUCUCUCCCGGAUUAGGAGUAGAAUAUUUUUAGGUGGUUCUGGAGAUGGAAAUGAGUGGAUGUAUGUGGAUGGUACUUCCGGAGUAGAAGUAGCAUAUAUGAGUGAACGUGCAAGUG
rnacentral:lncRNA from 1 species